rnacentral:rRNA from 1 species
CAGUCGCCGCGGUAAAACGUAGGGUGCAAGCGUUAAUCGGAAUUACUGGGCGUAAAGCGUGCGCAGGCGGUUAUAUAAGACAGAUGUGAAAUCCCCGGGCUCAACCUGGGAACUGCAUUUGUGACUGUAUAGCUAGAGUACGGCAGAGGGGGAUGGAAUUCCGCGUGUAGCAGUGAAAUGCGUAGAUAUGCGGAGGAACACCGAUGGCGAAGGCAAUCCCCUGGGCCUGUACUGACGCUCAUGCACGAAAGCGUGGGGAGCAAACAGGAUUAGAUACCCGUGUAGUCCCUGUCUCUUAUAU